GGGCAUGUGGUGUAGUUGGUUAUCACGCUCGCUUAGCAUGUUUAGCAUUCCGGUGCGUUUGCUUGCGAGAGGGGUCCGGUUCAAUCCCGGACAUGUCCA